AGAUUGAACGCUGGCGGCAUGCCUUACACAUGCAAGUCGAACGGCAGCACGGGAGCAAUCCUGGUGGCGAGUGGCGAACGGGUGAGUAAUAUAUCGGAACGUGCCCAGUCGUGGGGGAUAACGCAGCGAAAGCUGUGCUAAUACCGCAUACGAUCUAUGGAUGAAAGCGGGGGAUCGCAAGACCUCGCGCGAUUGGAGCGGCCGAUAUCAGAUUAGGUAGUUGGUGGGGUAAAAGGCUCACCAAGCCGACGAUCUGUAGCUGGUCUGAGAGGACGACCAGCCACACUGGAACUGAGACACGGUCCAGACUCCGUACGGGAGGCAGACAGGUGGGGUAAUUUUGGACAAGUGGGCGACAGACCUGAUCCAGUCAAUCGGCCACGUGCGACGGAUGGAACGGUCCC
rnacentral:rRNA from 1 species